CUUCGUAGGUGAACUGAUAGGGGGAUCAUCAGCGAGUAUUCAACUCCCAAACCCCUGUGAACAUACCAAUUGUUGCCUCGGCGGAUCAGCCCGCUCCCGGUAAAACGGGACGGCCCGCCAGAGGACCCCUAAACUCUGUUUCUAUAUGUAACUUCUGAGUAAAACCAUAAAUAAAUCAAAACUUUCAACAACGGAUCUCUUGGUUCUGGCAUCGAUGAAGAACGCAGCAAAAUGCGAUAAGUAAUGUGAAUUGCAGAAUUCAGUGAAUCAUCGAAUCUUUGAACGCACAUUGCGCCCGCCAGUAUUCUGGCGGGCAUGCCUGUUCGAGCGUCAUUUCAACCCUCAAGCACAGCUUGGUGUUGGGACUCGCGUUAAUUCGCGUUCCUCAAAUUGAUUGGCGGUCACGUCGAGCUUCCAUAGCGUAGUAGUAAAACCCUCGUUACUGGUAAUCGUCGCGGCCACGCCGUUAAACCCCAACUUCUGAAUGUUGACCUCGGAUCAGGUAGGAAUACCCGCUGAACUUAAGCAUAUCAAUAAGCGGAGGAA
rnacentral:rRNA from 1 species